rnacentral:ncRNA from 1 species
AAAGUCUUAGUCUUAAACUUAUUAUUGCUUAUAAGCAAGAUUAUACAUGCAAGCCUCCACAAACCUGUGAGUAAUAGCAUCAGGCACGCCACCGCAGCCCACGACGCUAAGCAACUACAUGCCACACCCACACGGCCCCCAGCAGUAAUUAACAUUGGGCAAUGAGUGAAAACCCGACCCAGCUAUGAUUAUCACAACGCCGGUAAAUUUCGUGCCAGCUACCGCGGUUAUACGAACCAGGCUAAAAGCAAUAAAUCAACGGCGUAAAGAGUGGCCACUUUAUAUACCUAAAAAAUUAUAGCCAAAUAAUGUUUAUAUGGUAAAAUAUGAAACGCCAGAAGCCCUAAGCUAUAAUCAACAGGCAUUAAGACCCACGACCCCUAAGAUACAAACUAGGAUUAGAUACCCUACUAUGCUUAGAAGUUAACCACGACAAACCACUAACAAUUUGUCCGCCAGAAGAUUACGGGCGAGAGCCUAAAAUUUAAAAGACUUGACGGUGUCCCACUUCUACCUAGAGGAGCCUGUUCCAUAAUCGAUAAUCCCCGAUCAACCCGACCUCUCCUUGAAAUUAUUCAGCCUAUAUACCGCCGUCCUCCCGCUUACCUUUUGAAAGAUUAACAGUAAGCCCAAUAGUCCGCCAACUAAAAAAUCAGGUCAAGGUGUAGCUUAUGGAGAGGAGAAAAUGGGCUACAUUUUCUACAAUAGACAACACGGAAAGUAUUCUGAAAUAAAAUACACAAAGGUGGAUUUAGAAGUAAGCUAAACCAGAGUGUUUGACUAAAACUAGCCCUGGGACAUGUACACACCGCCCGUCACCCUCCUCAACUUACUACAACAACCAUUUAUAAUAAGAUUAAAACAAAACAAGAUGAGGCAAGUCGUAACAAGGUAAGCGUACUGGAAAGUGCGCUUGGAAUAC